UUUCCCAGUCACGAUAUGGUCCCCAAAUCUAUACUAAGUUGAACAAAGGAGGUCUGAUUGCAGAGACAGCCAGGAUGUUAGCUUGGUAGCAGCUAUACAUUUAAAGAGUGCGUAACAGCUCACUGGUCGAGAGGGAAAGAACCCAGACCAACAGUUAAGGUCCCAAAAUCUAUACUAAGUUGAACAAAGGAGGUCUGAUUGCAGAGACAGCCAGGAUGUUAGCUUGGAAGCAGCUAUUCAUUUAAAGAGUGCGUAACAGCUCACUGGUCGAGCGAGGCGGGCAUCGAUAAUAAACGGGCAUCAAGUAUAGUACCGAAGCUUUGGAUUAUGUAGCGAUACAUACUGGUAGGGGAGCAUUCUGAUAGCGAUGAAGGUGAAUCGACAAGGUUUGCUGGAGUGAUCAGAAAAGCAAAUGUAGGGAUAAGUAACGAUAAUGGGGGCGAGAAACCCCCACGCCGAAAGACUAAGGUUUCCUGAUCAACGCUAAUCGGAUCAGGGUUAGUCGGGUCCUAAGGCUCCGCCGAAAGGCAAUGCCGAUGGCUGAAAUGGUUAAUAUUCCAUUACUACCUUUAAGAGUGAUGUGGGGACGGAGUAGUGACAGUGCCGCGAACUGACGGAAUAGUUCGUUAAAGGGUGUAGAAGUUGAGGAAUGCAGGCAAAUCCACAUUCCGAUUCGAACCUGAUAGUAUGGAGCGUCUUCGGACAAUCCAAUAGUGCAUGUAAUCAGACUUCCAAGAAAAUCCGCUAAACUUAAUCUUCUAGGUACCCGUACCGUAAACGGACACACGUAGUCGGGUUGAAUAUACUAAGGCGCUUGAGUGAAUCACGGUUAAGGAACUAGGCAAAUUGACCCUGUAACUUCGGGAUAAAGGGUCCCUCCUCGCAAGAGAGGGCGCAGAGAAUAGGUCCAGGCAACUGUUUAACAAAAACACAGGGCUGUGCAAAAUCGAAAGAUCACGUAUACAGCCUGACACCUGCCCGGUGCUGGAAGGUUAAGAGGAGAUGUUAUCGCAAGAGACGCAUUGAAUUGAAGCCCCAGUAAACGGCGGCCGUAACUAUAACGGUCCUAAGGUAGCGAAAUUCCUUGUCGGGUAAGUUCCGACCUGCACGAAUGGUGUAAUGAUCUGGACACUGUCUCAACCGUGAGCUCAGUGAAAUUGUAGUAUCGGUGAAGAUGCCGAUUACCCGCGAUGGGACGAAAAGACCCCGUGAACCUUUACUAUAGCUUAUCAUUGAAUUUGGGCACGUGAUGUGUAGGAUAGGUCGGAGGCCUUGAAGCAUGUACGCCAGUAUUUGUGGAGCCGUUGUUGAAAUACGACCCUUCAUUUGUUUGAGUUCUAACUUCCUUGAUGGAAGGACACUGAUUGGUGGGUAGUUUGACUGGGGUGGUCGCCUCCAAAAGAGUAACGGAGGCUUCUAAAGGUGCCCUCAGGCCGAUUGGUAACCGGUCUUAGAGUGUAAUGGCAAAAGGGCGCUUGACUGGGAGACAGACAGGCCGAGCAGGUAGGAAACUAGAGCAUAGUGAUCCGGUGGUUCCGUAUGGAAGGGCCAUCGCUCAAAGGAUAAAAGGUACUCCGGGGAUAACAGGCUGAUCUCCCCCAAGAGCUCAUAUCGACGGGGAGGUUUGGCACCUCGAUGUCGGCUCGUCGCAUCCUGGGGCUGGAGAAGGUCCCAAGGGUUCGGCUGUUCGCCGAUUAAAGUGGCACGCGAGCUGGGUUCAGAACGUCGUGAGACAGUUCGGUCCCUAUCUGUUGUGGGCGUUAGAAAUUUGCGAAGGUCUGACACUAGUACGAGAGGACCGUGUUGGACGAACCUCUGGUCUACGGGUUGUUCCGCCAGGAGCACUGCCCGGUAGCUACGUUCGGUUAGGAUAAGUGCUGAAAGCAUCUAAGCACGAAGCCAUCUUCAAGAUUAGAUUUCUUUAUAAGGGUCGUGGAAGACUACCACGUUGAUAGGUUACAGGUGUACAACAGAAAUGUAAAGCCGAGUAAUACUAAUUGCCCGAUAGCUUUUUUUA
rnacentral:rRNA from 1 species